rnacentral:lncRNA from 1 species
AUUUUUAAAAUGAAAAGGUUUUUAUUGUAAAGUUUGAAAACUUUUGUAUGCUGGUGUAAACUGCAAAAUUUCAAAGUUUCAGGGGCUGAAACGCAAACUUUGAAACCACAGUACUGAGACUUCACCACCUUCAUAACUUUGGGUACUAAACUGUAAAUAUCACCGCCGGCCACCUCUGACUUGCCGGAAACGGUGCUAUGGUGGUCGGGAAGCCACCAAACUCUCCAGAACUCAAGUUUAGGCUACCAUAAACUCGUACAAACAAUAAUUUUCACCAAACAAAGCAAGUAUUAGUCAGAUUUUGUAAGAACAAGUUCGCCGCCGGCGAAUUUCUUGAAAACUCCGGCGAGGCUUAACCACAACUCCUCCACCCUCAGUGAUCACAUACGAACGCUCCUCACAACCAUACAAACACAGUGGUAACCUCUGAUUUUGCCCAGAAUCAACAGAAAAGAAUCCCCCAAAUUUCAAUUAAAAAUAUUCAAGAACACUCAAGAACAUUCAAGAACACAUCUCAAGAAUCAAAUCCUUAUUUCUAUAUGUUACGGAAGUCAAAAAUCGACAUAUAAUAUAUGAAAACGAAUGGCAGGAGAUGCUCUACAACAUGGAAUCAUCAAAUCAAUCAAACAAGAUCGUUUGCAAAAAUUCAUAUUUCAAAUCAUUUAAAUUCGAAAUUAAAAAGCUUAUUUAGCAAAAACCUGU